GAUGAACGCUGGCGGCGUGCCUAAUACAUGCAAGUCGAACGCAUAGCGAAAGGUGCUUGCACCUUUCAAGUGAGUGGCGAACGGGUGAGUAACACGUGGACAACCUGCCUCAAGGCUGGGGAUAACAUUUGUAAACAGAUGCUAAUACCGAAUAAAACUUAGUGUCGCAUGACACAAAGUUAAAAGGCGCUUCGGCGUCACCUAGAGAUGGAUCCGCGGUGCAUUAGUUAGUUGGUGGGGUAAAGGCCUACCAAGACAAUGAUGCAUAGCCGAGUUGAGAGACUGAUCGGCCACAUUGGGACUGAGACACGGCCCAAACUCCUACGGGAGGCUGCAGUAGGGAAUCUUCCACAAUGGGCGAAAGCCUGAUGGAGCAACGCCGCGUGUGUGAUGAAGGCUUUCGGGUCGUAAAGCACUGUUGUAUGGGAAGAACAGCUAGAAUAGGAAAUGAUUUUAGUUUGACGGUACCAUACCAGAAAGGGACGGCUAAAUACGUG
rnacentral:rRNA from 1 species